rnacentral:rRNA from 1 species
AUGAAGGUCAGGCUCCAGGUGCGGCGCAUGUGGGAGGCAGUCCAGGACAGCAACGUCGACCACCUAGAGGAUCGACGAGCGCUGGACGCCCUCAUCGCCGCAAUCCCGCCCGAGAUGCAGUUCUCGCUUUCCAACAAGCGGACUGCCAAGGAGGCUUGGGACGCCAUCGCCGCAGCACGCAUCGGCAGCGACCGUGCUCGCAAGUCCACCCUGCAGGCACUUCGUAAGGAGUGGGAGAACCUGGGCUUCAAGCCAGGUGAGGACGUUGAUGACUUUGCUCUCCGUCUCAACACUCUGCUGCAGAAGAUGGUGAAGUUUGGCAAUGCCACCUACACCGAGGAGAGAGCGGUCGAGAAGCUUUUUCGGUGCAUUCCCGAGAAGUACAAGCAGAUGGCUCGCUCGAUCGAGUCGUUGCUGGACCUCUCCACGAUGACGAUCGAGGAGGCGAUAGGCCGUCUCAAGGUCGUCGACACCGACGAGCCACAGCCUCCCUCGGGGCCCAUCACCACCGGUGGGAAGCUGCUCCUAACUCGGGAGCAGUGGGAUCCCAGCCUUGGUGACAGGAAGAAGGGGGAGCCUUCUUCCACGACGGGCGGCCGCAAGCGUGGCAAGCAGCGCAAGGCGCGAAGAGGCCCCCUAGGCAAGGCACAAGUACGUGCCGAAGGUGACGCCCGCGGAGGCUCCAAGGACGGCGCCGCUGGCAAGCCCAAGCCGGCACAGGAUAACAGUUGUCACAACUGUGGCCGGCUUGGCCAUUGGGCCAAUGAGUGUCGACAACCACGACAAGGCCAGGCUCACGUUGCCCAGGCGAAGGAGGAGGAGACGGCUCUGUUCAUGGCGCAUGCAAGCAUCGAGCUAUCUUCAGCGACACCAGUCGCAAAGGCUCCCCUCCACCUCGACGAGCCAAAAGCACACGCUCUUCUCGGCGAUGGCUCCGGGAAGGACAAGACUGAGGGGUGGUGCCUCGAUACUGGCGCCACCCACCACAUGACCGGUCGAAGGGAGUUCUUCGCCGAGCUCGACUCCGAUGCGCGAGGCUCCGUCAAGUUUGGGGAUGCCUCCGCUGUGGAAAUUAAGGGCGUCGGCUCCGUCAUCUUCACCACCAAGACGGCUUGGGACAGCUGGAUGAGAACGGCUCACGCGUGCUGGUACCCAGAGGUGGAAAUCGAAUUUACGUCCUUGAUGUGCAGGUGGCACAACCGGUCUGUCUCGCUGUCCGUCGGGACGACGAGGCGUGGCAAUGGCAUGAGCGCUUUGGGCACCUUCAUUUUGAGGCCCUGA